AUGUUUCAUAUUGACCCAAACCCCAAACACCGUAUAUCUUCAAAACCCCCUUUCCCUCAUGCCCAUGAGUUCAUGUUCACCGAUUCAUUGUCUCUUUGUGCACUCCUAUCACGUUUGUAAGCCUUCUGGUCUUAAUAAAUAUGGGGUAAGGACCCUUAUUUGGGGCUCUUGUCUUUUCCCAGACAUUAGCCAUCUCUCACUUUUAAUCCUGCAUCUGCUCUCUUGCUGGCCAAGAGAGAACUUUGGACUUAGAGUCUACAACAGAUGGUGACCCUGAGGUGAAAGAAGGAAAGGGGUACUGUGGACCAACGUGGGCAAGGAGCCAACAUGGCCAAGAGGUGGUACGACACGAGGACUGCAUGAUGCUGCAGAACGAUUAAGGGGCUCCAAGAAAACAAUCGCACCGGAUACAGUCUCUAUCUGACAAGAUUCCGGACCUCUGUGGAUCCCCUCUCGGGGUAAGGUGAAGCCUUACCAUGGCAUGGUGGAGACCUGUAGGAUAUCUUCCAAUGAAUCAAGACUUCCGGAGAAUGAGUGAGUGGCCACCGCCCCUCUUUUUCAAGAUGGAGGAAGCCUCUUCACGGACUCCUCAUCCUGAAGCCAGUCCACAAAUAAUCACCCUCCAAGCCAUCCAAAAGCAAAAGAAGGACCAGGAGCUUGUCAUGAUGGUCCUCAAACACAAAACUAAAAGAACCAAGAAAAACAAAAAGGGGGCACUGUGGAGAAUAAGCUUAGGAAUUCCCUGAGUCUGCACUGAUGGGUUAACAAGGCAUAAAGAAUUACAAAGCCAUAGGAUGCUCACAUCCACGCUUGGGAAACAGGAUUGCCCCCAGAAUAGAGGAGGGGGGGCGCAAAGGCCCCCAAUACAAAGGCAUAUGAGGUAAGCAAGCUUAGGUAUUCAGGGCAAAAGUGCACCCCCAAUUUAGUACUAUAGCAGAAAGCUGCUUUCACAGGAAGGAAGGACCAAAUUAGGCAAACAGGUAAAUAGGGCUAUAGACCACUGCACUGUAGAUGAAACUGCAGAGCAGAGCUGAUUAGCAAAAGAAAAGGUGUGUUGUUAACCCUGAGGUUACUUGCUGUGUCUUAUCCCCUAGGUUGGCUAAGAUAAACAGACAGGGCACCUCCUGUCUGCUGUUAACAACCAUCUGCCUGGUGCCAGGAUUGUUUUAUAUUGACCCAAACCCCAACCGUAUAUCCUCAAAACCCCCUUUCCCUCAUGCCCAUGAGUUCAUGUUUACCAAUUUAUUGUCUCUUUGUGCACUCCCAUCACGUUUGUAAGCCUUCUGAUUUUAAUAAAUAUGGGGUAAGGACCCUUACUUGGGGGUCUUGUCUUUUCCCGGACAUUAGCCGUCUCGCUUUCAAUCUUGCAUCUGCUCUCUCGCUGGCCAAGAGAGAACUUAGAGUCUACAGCACGAGAUAAUUAAAAUAUGUAUUUCAAAAUACUUAAAAGAUAAAAAGGCAAUAGAAUAUGGAGGAAACACAGAAAUAUGGCAGAAAUCCUAUGUUGUGAGUAGUUACAAUUACUGUAAGUGGACUAAAACAUCAAUCUAAGGCUGUUUUCUGCCAAAUGUGAAAUAGAAUCAUAAAAUCAAAAAAUCAUUGGUUUACAUUAUAACAGCUGGCAUGGAGAUUAAAACAAAAGUAGUAAAAAUGUAGUAAAAUCAAUUAACAUCUACAAAAACUAGUCAAAGGACACAUUAAAAAGAUAAAAUAUAUACAUAAAACGGGGAGUAAAACUUCAGUGCUUUUAAAAUGUAUUUAAGCUUAAGUGAUCAUCAACUUAAUCUAGACUGCUAAUCCAUAUAGGAUCUAUAUGAACCCCAUAGUAACCACAAAUCUAAAUCUAUACUAGAUGCCCAAUAAAGACAAAUCCAAGCAUAAUGCUAAAAGCAGGAAAGCAGAAGAAAGGAACAGAGAACUACAACACACACACACACACACACAAUUUCGAUGGCAGUAAAUACAUACCUAUCAAUAAUUAAAUGGAAAUGGAUUACAUGCCACAUGCUCCAAUCAAGAGUUACAGUGACUAAAUGGAUAGAAAAGACUCAUCUAAAAGAGAGUCACUACAGACCUAAAGACACAUACCGAAAGCAAAAGGAUGGAAAAAAGAUAUUCCAUGGAAGUGGGGGAAAAACCCAUGGUAGCAAUGCUUAUUUAUCAGACAAGGUAGACGUUAUAACAAAGAUGGUAGCAAGAAACAGAGAAGGGAAUUAACCACGUAAUGAUAGAGGUCAAACUAAAUGAUACAACAAUUAUAAAUACUUAUCCACCCAAAAUAGGAGCGUCUAAAUACAUAAAUACUAACAGACAUAGAGAAAUUGACAGUAAAAUAAUAGUAGGAAAAUUUAACACGAAUGGAUAGAUCAGACAGAAAAUCAAUAAGGAAACAGUGGCCACAAGUUACAUAUUAGAACAGAGGGGCUUAACAGAUAAUACAUAUACACAUUCCAUCCCCCCAAAACAAAAUAUACAUCCAAGUGCAUAUGAAACCUUAUCCAGGAUCAUGUUAAGCCUCAAAACAAGUCUCAAAUUUAAGGUUAGCAUUGUAUCAGGAAGCAUCUUUUCAGACCACAAUGAUAUGAAACUGCAAUUCAAUCAUAAGG